UCAAUGGAGAGUUUGAUCCUGGCUCAGGACGAACGCUGGCGGCAUGCCUAAUACAUGCAAGUCGAGCGGACCCGAGGUGC
rnacentral:rRNA from 1 species